rnacentral:rRNA from 1 species
CAUGCAAGUCGAACGAGAAUCUACUGAAAGAGUUUUCGGACAAUGGAUGUAGAGGAAAGUGGCGGACGGGUGAGUAACGCGUGAGGAACCUGCCUUGAAGAGGGGGACAACAGUUGGAAACGACUGCUAAUACCGCAUGACGCAUAGAGGUCGCAUGAUCUUUAUGCCAAAGAUUUAUCGCUUCAAGAUGGCCUCGCGUCUGAUUAGCUAGUUGGCGGGGUAACGGCCCACCAAGGCGACGAUCAGUAGCCGGACUGAGAGGUUGAACGGCCACAUUGGGACUGAGAUACGGCCCAGACUCCUACGGGAGGCAGCAGUGGGGAAUAUUGGGCAAUGGGCGCAAGCCUGACCCAGCAACGCCGCGUGAAGGAAGAAGGCUUUCGGGUUGUAAACUUCUUUUAAGAGGGAAGAGCAGAAGACGGUACCUCUAGAAUAAGCCACGGCUAACUACGUGCCAGCAGCCGCGGUAAUACGUAGGUGGCAAGCGUUGUCCGGAUUUACUGGGUGUAAAGGGCGUGCAGCCGGGUCUGCAAGUCAGAUGUGAAAUCCAUGGGCUCAACCCAUGAACUGCAUUUGAAACUGUAGAUCUUGAGUGUCGGAGGGGCAAUCGGAAUUCCUAGCGUAGCGGUGAAAUGCGUAGAUAUUAGGAGGAACACCAGUGGCGAAGGCGGAUUGCUGGACGAUAACUGACGGUGAGGCGCGAAAGUGUGGGGAGCAAACAGGAUUAGAUACCCUGGUAGUCCACACUGUAAACGAUGAAUACUAGGUGUGCGGGGACUGACCCCUUGCGUGCCGCAGUAAACACAAUAAGUAUUCCACCUGGGGAGUACGAUCGCAAGG